rnacentral:lncRNA from 1 species
UGGUUUUCUCAUUGAGUCAAAGAUUAUCAACCGGUUCUUGGGAAUUUCAAUGACCAUGAGUAUCCAGUGAAAGCUGUUUACACACACAUAUAUAUAGUCAGUCCUAUAAUGUAAAAUAAAAUAUGCAUUCACUUAAUAACUAUAUAACUCACUCGAAGUUGAAGGGGAAGAGUAUUUUUUGUUUUUCUUUUUGGUUCACAAAGAACCUCAUAAGAUUGGUGCAGACUUCUGUCUCAUGAUCUGCUGUCCACACUGCCUGCGGAGCCUUGAAAACAAUAUAAGGGUCAAUGAACCCAAUACUAUUGUCAUUUCUCAUUCUGAGCUCUCUCAUUUGGUGCCUGCAUAUAUACAUACAAAUCCUAAGUGUGUAAGGAUUAUAUACAUGUAAUUAAAGAAGUUAGA